GGAAAAUGAAAUGGCAAAAGCCAUCCGGGGCGCACUUUCGAGAGCGCAGAAUAGAAGAGCAGGAGAAAUGUGCAAAAGAGACAGAUUCACUAUUAAAAUAUUUGGGACCAUCUGCAGCUGAAUCAUCAGACCAGGAACAGCCAUGCACCUCAGCUGCUCUGGUUUCCUCAGCGCCACCAGAAGAGACACAACAAGAGCAUGCUGCUCUUCCUGCCAACCUCACCCUGCCUCUAACCACUGAGCCUGGAUGUUCAGACGUCUGGAUGCAAUAAGGAUUAUGGAGUGGAGGACAUACUUGUUUUGUUGUCGAGGCUCCUCUAUUUGGAGGAUGAGUAUUUGUCUGCAGUGUCGUCAGAUCCACUUAGAGGUGGGAAACAAAUACAGGC